UCGCCCAAACCCUAACUCAUAUCCCCUCCAUUCCCCCGCCUCCCCUUCUCUCCCUCUCCCCGAUCUAGAUUGACAACGUCGGCUCCCUCUCUCCCUCGUCGGCAGGUCCCUCCACCGUGGUCCCUCCUACCCUAGCCCCGGCCAUUCUCCCUUCUGCCACCCUCUCAUGUCCCAGUCUCUCGCCUUUGUCCACCUGCAGCCUAUUGAGCGCGCCGCCCAACCUCACCAGCAACAUAUGCACUGCCGCCCAGCAGCCACGGCGUCGCGGCUGGCCGGCUCGUCGGCGUGCGCAUGCUUCAAUGCACGCCGCUCAAUCGAGCUGGUCGGACCGCGGCGGCGCGUGACCUAGGGUUUUGGUCAGUUUGCCCCAUGCCGGCCACGACUCUCCGGCAACCAGGACGGGGACGACAUCGACGACAUCCUCUAACGGUCGUCGUCCACCUCGCAUUGCAGGGAGGGGUCGGUCCUCUCCUCGGACGAGGGGCCGGCCGUGUUCGUCGUUCCACACCCUGGCAGUCGAUCCCAUCCGCCACUGCUUCACUAGCCUCCUCCGCCGGCGUCUCCGCGAGGGCGCUUGACGCUAGGCAGGCCAUGGACGCGCUGGACCUCAAGGCCGUCCGUGCUGCUCCUGCUCCGGUGCGCGGAUGCUGGAGGGGUCGUGCCUGAGGAGACCGAGCUCGCCAUGCUGCUCCUUUUCAAUGCCAACAAGGGAAGGGCCGACGAGGAGAACAGGGUCCCUACACCAACAUGUUAGGUUUCCCUGGCUGCUCGGUAGUUCUCGGACCGCUCCCUAAUUUUCCUUGGUCUCGUAGGUAACUGGCGCAACCACUGUAACUUGAGACGGUGGACUGGAGGAAGGAUCAUGAGAACAACUACACAAUGUUAUGGAUGGACAGGAUGAUGGUAAGUAAUUCUUGAGUAUGAUAGCAUGUCAUCUAGCUCAACCAUGUUGACUUUGAAACCAUACAAUCUUGAGCUAUCUCAGUUUAUCCAUACCUUGCAAGACAUUUAGUGAGUAUAUUUGAGAAACCAUACAAGGCUUCACUGUAUUCACCUUCUAUCAUGCUGCCCUUUCACACUAUGAUCUUGUUUAGAUGCACACCGCUCACUUUUUAAGAAAAUGUGUGAUGUAAAUACUGGGGAUGUGGAUAUAUAAUGUAUGUAAAUGUGGCUGAAACAAAUUAUUGUAAAUUGCAGAAUGUUCUAUUGUUUCAUAAGGAUAAACCAGGAUAUUUUAUUUACCAUGUAUUAUUUGUCACCGAGUAAUGAUCUGGGGUUGUGUGUGUAGGGAGGGUGAAUCAGAUCUAGGAGCACAUUGACUACGAGGUUUGUCGACAUGACAAGUACCGUAUGUGUGUCUACUCGUCCAACCUGAUAAUUCUCCAUUUGGUCACCUUUGAUUGAUAUCCUCCAAAAUAGGAGGAGAUUCUGCUUUUGCUAAAUCUCCUUGUGUAUGUGCUUCUUGCACCUAUUGAUGCUACAAGUUAAGUAAUCAGAUGAGCCCUUCAUGUGUUGUAUGCAAGAUUCCAACAUGUUCUUCAUUUUGUUCUGAUGCAACAGUCAGCUGGAUGCGGGAGAAUCAAUGCACAUAAACUUGUUCUUUCUCUAUUUAAAAGCAUUGAAGAUCAUAAUAUUACGCACUAUCAAUUUGUUUUUUCUUGGCAAUCGGUAUUGCUAAUACCCCUUUCGGUCUUUAACAUUUGUUUUUUCUCGUGGACACAUGUAUGAACACUUCACCUGUCUUCAUUCUUUCUAGAUCUCAUAAGUAGUAAUUUCUUAAAGAUUGUAUAACCUGUAUACUUCACUUUAAUUCAUGUGUGACAACAGUAAAGGAAAUCAUCUGAUGAACUGUUCACGAUAUAAUUUUUUAUAGGCUUAGAUUUAAUUAAGGUCUAUCUAUUGUAGUUUAAGCUUGAACAUAUCAUUAGGGCUAGUUCUUGUGGUGUUUUUUGGGCUUCUAGAAUAAGUUGCCCCUUACCCAGCUUAUUUUAGAAGCCCAACCAUAUAGUGUCAAAAACACUCUUAUAUUAUGGGAUGGAGGGAGUAGGCUUCUAAGCAAAUAAUUUUCUAGAAUAAGCUAGGUAGGGGGCAACCUAUUCCAGUUUUUCUAGAAGGCAGCAAAAGAACUGGCCUUUAGUAAUUAGUAUGAUCUUCUGAUGUUGGAGUCUCGAGGUGGAGAGUUUACACAAUAUGAUAUAAUAUGAAUUUUAACUUACUAGUGUUCAAUAUUUCUAACCUGAUUUAUGGAAGAAACAAAAGCUAGGCCACACAGCCACAUAAAGUCCUCUAAAAUGUUCACUGCUUGCAUCCAUGUGACUUCCUUAUAUACACUAUCUGCAUUCUACUCUCAGCUUGCUGCAUUUUUCUUAUUUCAUGUUAUGCUUAAUUUGCUUCUAAUGUAUUGUCCCUCCCUAUGGCAGGACGAAACACUUCUUGGAAUUCUUAAAGAGGAAGUCAAUGGAGCCAUGCUGUUGUUGUGCAACAGGCUAUGUUUUUCGUAAUACCAUUUGUCUGGGCUGUGUAAUCUUAGUUUGUGUGUGCUGGGAUACUCAAAAAGCUAUCUAUCUAAUAUAAAUCUGUAUUAUGUUGUCUAGCCUCUGUAAUCUUAUUUUGUGUGUGCUGGGAUAUUAAAAAAGCUAUCUGUCUAAUUUAAAUA